GAGUUUGAUCCUGGCUCAGAUUGAACGCUGGCGGCAUGCUUUACACAUGCAAGUCGAACGGCAGCGCGGGGCAACCUGGCGGCGAGUGGCGAACGGGUGAGUAAUAUAUCGGAACGUACCCAAGAGUGGGGGAUAACGUAGCGAAAGUUACGCUAAUACCGCAUACGAUCCAAGGAUGAAAGCAGGGGACCGCAAGGCCUUGUGCUCCUGGAGCGGCCGAUAUCUGAUUAGCUAGUUGGUGAGGUAAAGGCUCACCAAGGCGACGAUCAGUAGCUGGUCUGAGAGGACGACCAGCCACACUGGAACUGAGACACGGUCCAGACUCCUACGGGAGGCAGCAGA
rnacentral:rRNA from 1 species